AAGAGUUUAAGUUAAACUAAACUAUUAACCUUCAAAGUUAAAAUUAGAUCCUUCUAACCCUUA
rnacentral:tRNA from 1 species